GACGUAGGGUGCGAGCAUUGUCCGGAUUUAUUGGGCGUAAAGAGCUCGUAGGCGGCUUGUCGCGUCGACCGUGAAAACUUGGGGCUCAACCCCAAGCCUGCGGUCGAUACGGGCAGGCUAGAGUUCGGUAGGGGAGACUGGAAUUCCUGGUGUAGCGGUGAAAUGCGCAGAUAUCAGGAGGAACACCGGUGGCGAAGGCGGGUCUCUGGGCCGAUACUGACGCUGAGGAGCGAAAGCGUGGGGAGCGAACAGG
rnacentral:rRNA from 1 species